GCAGCGACGCCGCGUGAGGGAUGACGGCCUUCGGGUUGUAAACCUCUUUCGCAGGGACGAAUUCAGACGGUACCUGCAGAAGAAGCACCGGCCAACUACGUGCCAGCAGCCGCGGUAAUACGUAGGGUGCAAGCGUUGUCCGGAAUUAUUGGGCGUAAAGAGCUCGUAGGCGGUCUGUCGCGUCGGCUGUGAAAACUUGGGGCUCAACCCCAAGCCUGCAGUCGAUACGGGCAGACUAGAGUGUGGUAGGGGAGACUGGAAUUCCUGGUGUAGCGGUGAAAUGCGCAGAUAUCAGGAGGAACACCGGUGGCGAAGGCGGGUCUCUGGGCCAUAACUGACGCUGAGGAGCGAAAGCGUGGGGAGCGAACAGGAUUAGAUACCCUGGUAGUCCACGCCGUAAACGGUGGGUGCUAGGUGUGAGCGGUAUUCCACGCCGUUCGUGCCGCAGCUAACGCAUUAAGCACCCCGCCUGGGGAGUACGGCCGCAAGGCUAAAACUCAAAGGAAUUGACGG
rnacentral:rRNA from 1 species